UACGGAGGAUGCAAGCGUUGUCCGGAAUGAUUGGGCGUAAAGGGUCCGUAGGUGGUGAUGUAUGUCUAUUGUCAAAGGUUCUGGCUUAACCAGAGACAGGCAGUAGAAACUGCAAAACUAGAGUGCAGUCGGGGCAGGGGGAAUUCCUGGUGUAGCGGUGAAAUGCGUAGAGUUCAGGAAGAACACCGGUGACGAAAGCGCCCUGCUAGGCUGUGACUGACACUGAGGGACGAAAGCUAGGGGAGCUAAUGGG
rnacentral:rRNA from 1 species